GAUGAACGCUGACAGAAUGCUUAACACAUGCAAGUCGAUGGGGAAGUGGUGCUUGCACCAUGGUAACCAUGGCGGACGGGUGAGUAACGCGUAAGGAACUUACCUGCGGGACCGGGAUAACAGCAGGAAACUGCUGACAAGACCGGAUAAGGUCAUUAAGCUGCAUAGCUUAGUGAUGAAAGGAGACGCCUGCGGAGAGCCUUGCGUCCUAUUAGCUAGUUGGAGGGGUAACGGCCCACCAAGGCGAAGAUAGGUAGCCGGCCUGAGAGGGUGGACGGCCACAAGGGGACUGAGAUACGGCCCUUACUCCUACGGGAGGCAGCAGUGGGGAAUAUUGGACAAUGGGGGCAACCCUGAUCCAGCAAUUCUGAGUGCACGAAGACGGUUUUCGGAUUGUAAAGUGCUUUCAGCAGGGAAGAAGGAAGUGACGGUACCUGCAGAAGAAGCGACGGCUAAAUACGUG
rnacentral:rRNA from 1 species